rnacentral:rRNA from 1 species
AGCGGACAGAUGGGAGCUUGCUCCCUGAUGUUAGCGGCGGACGGGUGAGUAACACGUGGGUAACCUGCCUGUAAGACUGGGAUAACUCCGGGAAACCGGGGCUAAUACCGGAUGCUUGUUUGAACCGCAUGGUUCAAACAUAAAAGGUGGCUUCGGCUACCACUUACAGAUGGACCCGCGGCGCAUUAGCUAGUUGGUGAGGUAACGGCUCACCAAGGCAACGAUGCGUAGCCGACCUGAGAGGGUGAUCGGCCACACUGGGACUGAGACACGGCCCAGACUCCUACGGGAGGCAGCAGUAGGGAAUCUUCCGCAAUGGACGAAAGUCUGACGGAGCAACGCCGCGUGAGUGAUGAAGGUUUUCGGAUCGUAAAGCUCUGUUGUUAGGGAAGAACAAGUACCGUUCGAAUAGGGCGGUACCUUGACGGUACCUAACCAGAAAGCCACGGCUAACUACGUGCCAGCAGCCGCGGUAAUACGUAGGUGGCAAGCGUUGUCCGGAAUUAUUGGGCGUAAAGGGCUCGCAGGCGGUUCCUUAAGUCUGAUGUGAAAGCCCCCGGCUCAACCGGGGAGGGUCAUUGGAAACUGGGGAACUUGAGUGCAGAAGAGGAGAGUGGAAUUCCACGUGUAGCGGUGAAAUGCGUAGAGAUGUGGAGGAACACCAGUGGCGAAGGCGACUCUCUGGUCUGUAACUGACGCUGAGGAGCGAAAGCGUGGGG